rnacentral:lncRNA from 1 species
AAGGUAAGUUUUGACAUUGAAUGCAUACUUUAUUAAGAAUAAAAUCCUUUCCGUUUUGUAUGCAGUGCAGAACGUUUCACUAAAAAAUGAAACUCGUCUUCAACCUGCAUAUUUUUACACUACCCGUAAAAUCUUUUAUCUAUAUCGAAUUUUUUAUAUCGACCUUUUUCAAGAGGUAACUGAUGAGCACUGAUUCAAAUAAGGUUAACCUUUUUCCAUUCUGAAAUUUAUCAACUUGGCAUACAUAUGCCUCCCUUUUGAAAAUGUUUUUAAAUUUAUAAUAUGAAGCAAUUUUCCUCCAGAUCCCUAAACGACUUGUUGCAAGGGUUCUAAAUACUCAGAGAGCGUAGUACUCUCUUUACACGAGUCUUUCAUGUGACUGCGAACUUAUACAUGCUGCACAUACAAACGAACUCCAAACUGUGACGAGGGUUUUUCUGUUGGUCGAAAAAAAUACCAUAGUGAACAUAUUCCAUUCCUUAUUAAUUUCUUUUGAGUGUACGGAAUCAUUGAAAAGCAAAGUAUUGAAGUAUAUCACCGUAAUGGAAACCUUACUAUAAAGCUAUGAUGGGAUGGAUGUCUUUUCGUGUAAUAGGUUAAAAAUUGCAUGUGCUCUAUUCAUGGCAGUUCAUGAUUUUUAUACAUUUAUAUAUACUUUUAACUUUCAAAAUACCAUGAAUAUUUUUCAUAUGUAAAGAACAUAAUUAAAAAUCUUUUAACAUACAGAAAACAAAAUAACAAAUUUUAAAAUCACAAGGUCGACUUUAAAACAAACAUUUAAUCAUCUAUUCCAAAAAAUUCUCCAUGUCUUUAAACACUCCAUGUAUUAAAAAUACUAUAUACAGAUUGUAAGGAUUUCAAGUUUAAGGAGCAACCAAGCACACACCGCAUGCUAUGUUGUUUAAUAUAUCUGCGAAUAAUACGAUUUAAUUUACAUUACUAUUAUACAAUAUUUCUAUCACAUUGUUACAAGACCACUCUAGGUCUGAGAUAGUAUAAUCCGGAAUCAUUUUGGAGGACUUUCACAGUUUAAGGAUAUAAACGCGGCUAUUUACACGAAAACAAAGAAAUGUAAUUCAUUCAUUUUGUUAAGAGUUUAUUUCUAUUUUUAUCAAUUUCGAUCAUCAUCUUUUACAAAAAUGAAAAUGAUCUAUUUUUUUUUUUAAUCUUGUUUAAUGAGAAUGACUUAUUUCCUCUGAAUUCACUUUUGCGGGGCCAUUAUCAAUGUUUUACUGCAAAACCACAAAGUAAAAAAAAAUCGAUGAAAAUUCAAAACGGAAAGUCCCUAUUCAAAUUGCAAAAUUAACACAUCAAACGAUCAUCACCAUAUCUGAAACAUGAAAAUCUGAAAAUUUGGACACUAGGAAUAUUUUUGUUUUUGAUUACUUAUGAAAUAAGCAACAGCUUGUUAUAAAAAUGUUCAUGUAAUAAUCAUGUUUAAACAAUACACGAGUUUAUGCUCAAUUCGUAUAUUUUAAUAAGGUUGAAAAUCCAGUAUAUUCGUUUUAAAUUUAAUAAAUGUGCUUACCUGUUUGCAAGAGCCGUUAAACACUAAUAAUUUUUUAGUAGUGAUCAGCAAAAAAAAAGUUUAAUGGCGCCGGGGCCUGAUUGUGAUUUAAAAAAAUUAACCAGAAACCGAACUGGUAACACAACACGAAAUCGAAACACCAUGAUGGUGUUGUAAAAAUCAUUAACUACAUGUAGUUCAAGUGACUACGAUGAACGUCUUCAAAAACGUAUGAAAGUAGGAAGUAAUGAUUCAAAUACAAACAGCAUAGAUAUUUGAAAAAAAUAAAUGAAUGUUUUAGGUGGC